rnacentral:lncRNA from 1 species
ACAAACCAGAGAUGCAUAAACCAUUCCUCCCCUCUUCAUCUCGCUCAUUCUCUCUUUCAGCAGGGAGUUCCUCUGGGGCCCAGUCCGAAGCACCGGUCUGGCAGCUGCGACGUACCAAUGCUUCCCGCUCCCGUUUAUCAGCCUCUGCUUUUACGGAUCUCUGGGGAUAUAAGAACAAGUUCAGCUCGCAUCAUCCUUCUCCGUUUGGCUGACAUGUAAUUUACAGUUGGAUGCACCAUCCAUGGAAUCAGCUCACUCCCUUCUUCUCCCUGAUGGGACCGUAAAACCCUCAGCUGGCAGAUCUGUCCGCCAGGCAGAGAUGUGACACGUUGCAGCUAUCUGGAGAUGGUAAGUUUUCCAUUGAACAAUGUAGCAGAGAAAAAGCAACUUAAUAGCCUGUGGAUGACAGGUGGAUGGUGGCUAAAUACUUGCAAUUUCUGACCCGCUGUGUUUCCCAUUUGUUAUUUCUUUGGAAGUGACUCAUCCCAGGCAGCCCAGUCCCUGCUCCAGGCAGCUGGACCAGGCAAAUCCUACAGCAACUUAGUGCUCAUCUGCUCGCCGGUGUGCUUACUCCUUGCCAAAUCUUUGGGCAUAAAGUGUGCCCUCUUAUGUGCAGCGUCAGGGC